GACGAACGCUGGCGGCGUGCUUAACACAUGCAAGUCGAACGGAAAGGCCCCUUUGGGGGUACUCGAGUGGCGAACGGGUGAGUAACACGUGAGUAACCUGCCCUUGACUUCGGGAUAACUUCAGGAAACUGGGGCUAAUACCGGAUAGGAAUCCUUGCUGCAUGGUGGGGGUUGGAAAGCUUCGGCGGUUUUGGAUGGACUCGCGGCUUAUCAGCUUGUUGGUGGGGUAGUGGCUUACCAAGGCUUUGACGGGUAGCCGGCCUGAGAGGGCGACCGGCCACAUUGGGACUGAGAUACGGCCCAGACUCCUACGGGAGGCAGCAGUGGGGAAGAUUGCACAAUGGGCGGAAGCAUGAUGCAGCAACGCAGCGUGCGGGAUGACGGCCUUCGGGUUGUACACCGCUUUCAGCAGGGGCGAAGCUUGUGGUGACGGUACCUGCAGAAGAAGCACCGGCUAACUACGUG
rnacentral:rRNA from 1 species